GUCUGAAGAAAGUAAUCUACUGCAGCAGUUAGCAGAUGCUUGCUUAGUUGUUGAUGCCUUGGAGCCAUCUGUAAGGGAAGAGUUGCUUCAAAAUUUUUGCAGCAGGGAGCUUACUUCAUAUCAACAGAUCUUUGAAGGAGCUGAACUAGCAAAGUUGGAUAAAACUGAAAGGAGAUAUGGUUGGAUUAAGCGUCGGUUAAGAACAAAUGAAGAAAUCUGGAAAAUAUUUCCUCCUUCAUGGCAUGUUCGUUAUUUUCUGUGUAUCCAGUUCUGCAAGUUGACAAGAUUUCGUCUUAGUGCUGCAACUUAACGGAAUUGACCUAAAAAAAAUUCAGCUUGGGGGUCUGCUCAAAUUCAGCUUGAAGUAUAGAAGGAUUUACUUGAAUUAACAUAAAAAAUUUAACAUGAUUUGUCCUAAACCAAUAUAGUACACUUUGGAAAGAAGAAAAAAAAAAUUGCAAAUAGGGACCAUAUAAAAAAAUUAAUUUGAGUUGUACACACCAAACAUUAGAAUUGGUUACAUUGAAAUAUAAUUAAAUCUAACUGUAUAAAAA